CCUAGGGGGGCAGCAGUGGGGAAUAUUGGACAAUGGGGGGAACCCUGAUCCAGCCAUGCCGCGUGUGUGAAGAAGGCCCUCGGGUUGUAAAGCACUUUCAGUGAGGAAGAACGCCUGGUGGUUAAUACCCAUCAGGAAAGACAUCACUCACAGAAGAAGCACCGGCUAACUCCGUGCCAGCAGCCGCGGUAAUACGGAGGGUGCGAGCGUUAAUCGGAAUUACUGGGCGUAAAGCGCGCGUAGGUGGCUUGAUAAGCCGGUUGUGAAAGCCCCGAGCUCAACCUGGGAACGGCAUCCGGAACUGUCAAGCUAGAGUGCAGGAGAGGAAGGUAGAAUUCCCGGUGUAGCGGUGAAAUGCGUAGAGAUCGGGAGGAAUACCAGUGGCGAAGGCGGCCUUCUGGACUGACACUGACACUGAGGUGCGAAAGCGUGGGUAGCAAACAGGAUUAGAUACCCGGGUAGUC
rnacentral:rRNA from 1 species